rnacentral:rRNA from 1 species
CCUACGGGGGGCAGCAGUGGGGAAUAUUGGACAAUGGGCGAAAGCCUGAUCCAGCCAUGCCGCGUGUGUGAAGAAGGCCUUCGGGUUGUAAAGCACUUUCAGUGGGGAAGAAAGCCUUGGGGCUAAUACCCUCGAGGAAGGACAUCACCCACAGAAGAAGCACCGGCUAACUCCGUGCCAGCAGCCGCGGUAAUACGGAGGGUGCGAGCGUUAAUCGGAAUUACUGGGCGUAAAGCGCGCGUAGGCGGUCUGUUAAGCCGGUUGUGAAAGCCCCGGGCUCAACCUGGGAACGGCAUCCGGAACUGUCAGGCUAGAGUGCAGGAGAGGAAGGUAGAAUUCCCGGUGUAGCGGUGAAAUGCGUAGAGAUCGGGAGGAAUACCAGUGGCGAAGGCGGCCUUCUGGACUGACACUGACGCUGAGGUGCGAAAGCGUGGGUAGCAAACAGGAUUAGAUACCCUAGUAGUC